GACUGAGCAGGUGGUAUUUCUCUGGAUAGAGAUUGCGCUGCUUGUGCUGUCACUGGUUGUUGGCAGAGGCUAAAUCAUUAAACAUCAUGCAGAACUCAUCCAUCCCACUACAUCAAUCCAUUUUCUAUUGGCAAAGGUGAAAUUGCAAUCCACCAGCCAGGGAUGCCAAUCUCUUGUGGACAACAGAGGGGUUCCAAGGUGAAUCCCCGAAGAUGGAAACAAGUUGAGUAAAAAAAGUACAUGCCAAAGACUACAACUGCUGCAAUGGUUCACAGGUCUAGUUUCAGAGCUGAGAGGUUCUGCUCUGCGUUUUGCUAUGGGAUGGAUUCAUCUUGCAGACAGAUGUGAAAAGUUCAGGUAACCAGCUCAUGACAGUCCCAUUGUGGUCAGCGGUGAUGUGCACAGAGGAACCCAAUGUACCUUUCCAGCUUCCCACAAACAGAGUUAGGAGAAAAGUCCCAGUAGCAUUUUGGAGUGAAAUGUAGAAGCACCAGCCUUUGGGCAUCAAUUGGAAAAGAGUGAGGAUGAAAGAUGCAUGACCCAGAGGAGGAGAAGGAUCAAAUGUGUCCCUUCAGAUACAAAAUUGAUUGAAGACCUACUGCUGUGAAUAAAACAGGGCUGUUCUUCUCAUACGAUGGACAGCUUUUGUUGCUUGGAGCCUGAGCUUGCGUUUCACUGCAGCAAAAGUAGUUGGAAGUACCAGGAUGGUGUCAAACAUGGGACAGCUUGGCUCAGUAACCAUAUGGGCUUUUGGAGAUGUGCAUGGCAGAUGUCCCUUGGAGAGCACUCCUGGAGGUGAGGGUGAGGGUAUGUAUGCAUGGUCAGUGUGCCUGAUGUGUACAAACCAACCUGGCUAAAAUCCUCUGCCCCAGCAUUUUUAUACAAAACUUUACCUCAGCUCAGAGGCAGCUAACCCUUUCCUGAGGGUCAGGCAUUCAUUGCUAAUCCUCUCAUGCCAGCAUCACUUCCACACUGCCCUGAUGCUUCCAGGACAUGGAUCACAUGAUUUAGUGGGCAAUUAUCAGCUGCAUGUGUAUGGGAUCACAUGCAUUGCACUGAAACUACCAUGUGACACAUCCUGGGCUUGAUUAGGAACAAAUCAAUAUUCAUUGGGCUAACUGGGUUGUUAUUUUUCCACUGCUCCACUAAUAUAACAACCUGACUGGCUUGUGUGUGUCUCUCUUUCUGACCCAGGCAGAAACGGUCAGUUAAAAUAUGCACGUUGGAGAAAUAUCCUUCACCUUACCUCUCACCAAGAGCACCAGAAUGGAUUUAGUCAGAGUGCCCCAUCUGCACAGUCCUGUCUGUGCAGGGAGAGGUGGAGUUGGGGUCUGCUGCUUUCAAGACACUCAAAAUCCCCGUAUCUCUGCAAGGACAGUGAGAAUCGAUCCAACUCUCCUAAAUCCCAUUUCUUAUUUAAUAUUUAAGAUAAACAGAAUUUAAAGGGAACGUAGAAAUUGCUAACUCACACCCAGAAAAAACCAUCCUUAAGAGAGUGAAACACCAGCUGAGAACUGCCAUCCUAUCUACAUCUUUCUUUCCUUUCAGCCAAGCCGUAUUUUUUGCUGGCAUUAGUAUUGAUUUACAUGAGCAGAGGGCAAAUGGUUUUUUUUUUUCCUGCCCUUCAAAAAAGGGUCUGCUGCAAUGUAGCAGGGAGCAAGGCCAUCUCAUGCUUCGCUUUGGAAGUUGCCCUGCGUGGCCCCGGAUGAUGAUAAAAGAUGGGGACUUUCUGCAGAACUGCUGAUGCACAGGUCCCAAAAACAUAUUAAUUAUAAUUCUGGGUGGUAGGAAAUUGUACGUGACACAAGUUCAGCCUGCACAUAAUUGCAUCUGCUUGCAUCCUCCACUCAGGAGAAAGGAAUAACAAAGGAAUAAGCAGGCUAUUUCUGAGAUUUUCAAAAACGAGCUGCCUGGUACCUCUGGAAGCAGAAUAAAGUUAUGUCUUUUUUCAUUGUUGGCAUUAUCAUAAAUAAUGUUCUGAGCCUGAAUCCAUUACUGAGUUGGAGAGGGACUCGUAGACCUUCGAAGGCAAUUAGGAUCAGCUGCAAAGGACAAUGUGUUCUUUUUUUAAUGUGUACCUGUACAGCAUUGUUACAGUGCCUGGAGAGAGAUGCUUGAGAACUGCUCCUCUCCACGAAAACUUCUGAUUAAAAUAAUCCAAAGUUUGGUAAAUUUUAGACUUACCAAAUACAUUUUUCCAAAGCCU